CAACGCGAAGAACCUUACCUGGUCUUGACAUCCACGGAAGUUUUCAGAGAUGAGAAUGUGCCUUCGGGAACCGUGAGACAGGUGCUGCAUGGCUGUCGUCAGCUCGUGUUGUGAAAUGUUGGGUUAAGUCCCGCAACGAGCGCAACCCUUAUCCUUUGUUGCCAGCGGUCCGGCCGGGAACUCAAAGGAGACUGCCAGUGAUAAACUGGAGGAAGGUGGGGAUGACGUCAAGUCAUCAUGGCCCUUACGACCAGGGCUACACACGUGCUACAAUGGCGCAUACAAAGAGAAGCGACCUCGCGAGAGCAAGCGGACCUCAUAAAGUGCGUCGUAGUCCGGAUUGGAGUCUGCAACUCGACUCCAUGAAGUCGGAAUCGCUAGUAAUCGUGGAUCAGAAUGCCACGGUGAAUACGUUCCCGGGCCUUGUACACACCGCCCG
rnacentral:rRNA from 2 species